UCAAAGUUUUGAUUUGUUCUGUCGGUUGAUAAACAUAAAAGUUAAAAAGAUAUGAUUAAAAAGGUAUAUAAACGACCAUAGUUCAGGUAUCACAACUUAUUAGAAUAGCUGGUGUAAUUCUAACAGAAAAUUACACCGACACUGACACUGAGAGACGAAAGCUGGGGGAGCGAAUGGGAUUAGAUACCCCAGUAGUCCUAGCCGCCGUAAACGAUGGAUACUAGGCGCUGUGCGUAUCGACCCGUGCAGUGUUGUACCUAACACGUUAAGUAUCCCGCCUGGGGAGUACGUUCGCAAGUAUGAAACUCAAAGGAAUUGACGGGGGCCCACACAAGCGGUGGAGCAUGUGGUUUAAUUCGAUGCAAAGCGAAGAACCUUACCAGGGCUUGACAUGCCGCGAAUCCUCUUGA
rnacentral:ncRNA from 1 species